AUUGAACGCUGGCGGCAUGCCUUACACAUGCAAGUCGAACGGUAACAGGUCUUCGGAUGCUGACGAGUGGCGAACGGGUGAGUAAUACAUCGGAACGUGCCCGAUCGUGGGGGAUAACGAAGCGAAAGCUUUGCUAAUACCGCAUAAGAUCUAUGGAUGAAAGCAGGGGACCGCAAGGCCUUGCGCGAACGGAGCGGCCGAUGGCAGAUUAGGUAGUUGGUGGGAUAAAAGCUUACCAAGCCGACGAUCUGUAGCUGGUCUGAGAGGACGACCAGCCACACUGGGACUGAGACACGGCCCAGACUCCUACGGGAGGCAGCAGUGGGGAAUUUUGGACAAUGGGCGAAAGCCUGAUCCAGCCAUGCCGCGUGCAGGAUGAAGGCCUUCGGGUUGUAAACUGCUUUUGUUCGGAACGAAAAGACUCUUUCUAAUAAAGAGGGUCCAUGACGGUACCGUAAGAAUAAGCACCGGCUAACUACGUGCCAGCCGCCGCCGUAAGAC
rnacentral:rRNA from 1 species